AACCAGCACCUCAAGUGGUCAGGAGGAUUAUUGGGCCUAAAGCAUCCGUAGCCUGUUCUAUAAGUUUGCGGUUAAAUCUAUACGCUCAACGUAUAGGCUGCCGUAAAUACUGUAGAACUAGGGAGUGGGAGAGGUAGACGGUACUCGGUAGGAAGGGGUAAAAUCCUUUGAUCUAUUGAUGACCACCUGUGGCGAAGGCAGCUCUCUGGCUCGUCACUGACGCUAAGGUGCGAAAGCGUGGGUAGCAAACAGG
rnacentral:rRNA from 1 species